UUCCUUCCUUCGAAGAUUAAGGGCUUCUAUUCUAGCAAGGCUGUGGAGUGUCCGUCCAAUGCACCCCAGUUUGCAAGGUCUCUGGGAAACCAUAGCUUAGGAAUUGCCACACAUAUAGCCUGUUCCCUAGUGUGAGAAAAGCAAAUAUUGUAUGUUCUUCCAAGAAAAUUACACAUGAAGGAGUUCUGUGAGAAGAACAUACAGUAUUCUGUACAAAGCUGGGUCAUAUGUUGACAUGUUAAAUUGACGUGUUAAAUUGCCACCUAUAGAAAACUGUUCAAAGCCACCUAAGUAAUCUAAAUCCUUUGUUUCUACCUUGUUAAUCAUUGACUUCCAUUGUGAGUGAUCUAAUCCCUCUGCCUGAUCCAACAAUUUAUAAAUAGCUACUUGAAAUCAAUAAACUUUGUCACUGAUUUGCAAGAGAUUUCUGCUUCUGCUUUCAGUUCGACCCUCUGUAAUCCCAGAAUCAUUUCUCUCAUCCCAGUUAGAGGACCCAUGCAUAAUUUGUAGAGCUGGCUAUUACAGAUCCUCAUAACAAGGACUCUGGUUUUCACCAGACUGUCAAAGGGGCUCUAUGACACCAAACAGAUGAGGAACCCCAGGUGUAAAGCAGAGGAAAACAUAUACCAGGGCUUACAAGCACAAGUGAGAUUGGUCGCUGUUUCUGCAGAUGAGGAAACUGAGGCCUGGACUGGUGAAGUAACUUGUUCAAUUUCACAUAGGUAUUAAGCCAUGAAUAUCAUUAGCCCUGGAACACAGGGUUCAUUCCACUUCCAUUGGGAUGGAUGUGAGCAGGUAGAAUAGGCUCCAGUUUCUUCAUGCUUGGGACUCUGGCCAUAUUGCGUAACAUCAAGCUAAGGCACUAUCUAAAUUCCAUCUCUGUGUCCACUCUAAGUCAUUCUUCAUUGCCUGGAUUAUAGACUCUGUAAGGCUUUUCUCUGAAGGGGCAGGAAGUUGUAGAGAUCUGAACUGGAGUGGGAGGGAGUUCCAGAAGGAUCUGCUUCCAGAAACCAUCAGGAAUCCCCUUGCUCUAAGGCAGAGGUAUGAAUCUGCACAGCCUCCUCUCCCCAUUCACUCUAGGGAAGAAUAGAGAAGAGGUGUGGGUGGAUGGGUGGGAUAUUGCAGAGAUUGAAAUAUUUUGAUGAGAUCCCUCAGGCUCAGGUCCCUGGGAUUAGUCUGGAUUCCAUUCCUGGCAAGGGGAGCAAACAGUCAGAUCUCAAUUAUCUAAACUAAUUGGGGAGGGCUGGAGUAAAGAAGAGCAGAUAAUAGUUAUGCGUGGUUCUUGAAUGCCUUCUCAGGCCUUGUUACUGCAAGCAGAAUGUCCAGGACUAGAAACAUAAUUGUCCAUUGUCUGCUGCCCUGGUUAGACCACAUCUGGAGUUUCUCAUUAUGUUCUUACAUGUUAGGAGGGACAUUGAAAAGCUACAUUGUGCUCAAAGGAGACUAGCCAGAAUGGGUAGGAGGACGGAAAUCAAAUUUAUAUAAGAGGAUUCAUUGAAGGAACUGGGGAUAUUCUUUUUUUUUUUUUAAACCUUUACCUUCGGUCUUGGAGUCAAUACUGUGUAUUGGCUCCAAGGCAGAAGAGUGGUAAGGGCUAGGCAAUGGGGGUCAAGUGACUUGCCCAGGGUCACACAGCUGGGAAGUAUCUGAUGCCAGAUUCGAACUUAGGAUGUCCCUUCUCUAGGGCUGGUUCUCAAUCCACUGAGCUACCCAGCUGCCCCCUAGGGAUAUUUAUUCUGAAGAAGGGAAAGCUCAGGGAGGAUAUGACACAUCUUUCAGUAUAUGAAGGGUUAAAAAUGGAUUGGAUUUAUUUGGGGGGCUUCAGAAGGGAGAACCCAGACUUUUUAGCUAUGAGGGAAAAUUACAGUGAAGUAGAUUUUAGCUGGAAAUCCUUUUUUUCUGUUUGGAUCUGUCCAGCAGUUGAAGGAGUUGCCUUGGCUGUUCUUGACUCAAGAGUCAAAUAGAAAGGGAUCCAUGCAGGGUGUAUAUUGACUUAGAAAACCACAAAUUAACAUUAUCUAUAUUGUUCAGUAUUUUAAAUUUUAUUUUGUUGAACAGUUCUUAAUUACAUUUUAACUGGUGAGUUUUGGCUGCAGUGAGCUUGAUGUUUCUGUUAUAGCUCACAAUGUAAUAAGAGCUUCCCUUCCAGCUCACUGAAUGCUUUCCUUCCAAUAACUAGGUAAGGUAGACAGUGCAAAUGUUAUUAUCCCAUUUUACAGAAAAGGAAACUGAGGAAUAAAAUGAUGUGAAUUGCUUGACACUUGUAAAUGUCUGACCUGGGAUCUAGCAUAAGUCACAAUCUUAGGAGACAUUAAAAGAUACAAAAUAACUUCCAGGACUUGGAGAAUAACCAUUUUGCUACACUUUGCCCUAGUCGAACCAUAUCUAGAGUAUAGUUCUGAGCACCAGAUUUUAAAAAGAACAUUCAUAAUAAUGAGUGUCUAGAGGAGAGUGACCAGAUUUACUUUGAGUCUAUGUCAAAAGAAAAUAACCUGAAGGAACUGGGGCUAUUUAGCUUUGAGAAGAGAACACUUAGGGGGCAUGUGAUAGCUGCCUUCAAAAAUGUGAAGAAAGGGGGGUAACUGGGUGGUUCAGUGGAUUGAGAGCCAGACCUAGAGAUGAGAGGUCCUGGGUUCAAUUCUGGCCUCAGACACUUCCCAGCUGUGUGACCCUGGGCAUGUCACUUAAUACCCAUUGCCUAACCCUUACCACUCUUCUGCCUUAGAACCAAUACAUAGUAAGGGUUUUGAAAUUUUUAAAAAAUGUAAAGAGAAAAUAGAUUCAUUCUGGUCAACUCUAGGGAGUAGAACCAGGAGCUAUGAGAGGAAGCUGCAGAGGAUCAGUUUAGAAGAGUCUUUAGACACCAUUUUGUCCAGCUUACUCACUUUACAGAUGAGGAAAACUGAAGCACAAAGAAGAUUUGAUCAAUGGAAUCUGGCUGAGGAGAGAUUUGAACCCAUAUCUUCCUGCCUCCAAGUCCAGUGCCUUAAUUGCUAUACCAUGUUGCCUCUCUAUUUAGACUUGAUUUAAAGACAGACUUCCUAACAGAGCUAUCCUGGGCUCUCUCUGACAGUCUGGGCUGUCUCUGGAGAUCUUUAAUAAAGCGACGGCUACUUGUAAUUUUUGUUGUAAAGGGAAUUCUUUUUCCUAUCAUGGCUGGAAUAGGUGGCCUCUGAAAUCCCUUCCCA